AUUGAACGCUGGCGGCAGGCCUAACACAUGCAAGUCGAACGGAGUGGCGGACGUGUGAGUAAUGUCAGGGAAACUGCCAGAUGGAGGGGGAUAACUACUGGAAACGGUAGCUAAUACCGCAUACUACCAGAUGAGCCUAGGUCGGAUUAGCUAGUUGGUGGGGUAAAGGCCUCCCAAGGCGACGAUCCGUAACUGGUCUGAGAGGAUGAUCAACCACACUGGAACUGAGACACGGUCCAGACUCGUACGGGAGGCAGCAUUGGGGAAUAUUGGACAAUGGGCGAAAGCCUGAUGCAGCAAUGCGGCGUGUGUGAAGAAGGUCUUCGGAUUGUAAAGCACUUUAAGUUGGGAGGCGUUACCAACAGAAUAAGCACCGGCUAACUUCGUGCCAGCCGCCGCGGUAAUAC
rnacentral:rRNA from 1 species